GUGAAUCAUCGAAUCUUUGAACGCAAAUUGCACUCCCUGGUAUUCCGGAGAGUAUGCCUGUGUGAGGGUCAGUUUAAAUAAAAAUCGGUGGGGUUGCUGCCUUUCGUGGUGACGCACCGGAUUUGGGUCGUCUUGCCUUAGGUUAAGUGACCUAAAAUUUUGUAUGAUUUUGUUUGAACGUAUUUAAAUGAUUUUACGUACGUUUGGGAUAUCGAAUACUAGGGGUGGUGAUCAUAAUGAUUGGCGCUGAUAAUU
rnacentral:misc_RNA from 1 species